UACGGAGGAUGCAAGCGUUAUCCGGAUUUAUUGGGCGUAAAGCGCGCGCAGGCGGUUCUUUAAGUCUGAUGUGAAAGCCCCCAGCUCAACUGGGGAGGGUCAUUGGAAACUGGGGAACUUGAGUGCAGAAGAGGAGAGCGGAAUUCCACGUGUAGCGGUGAAAUGCGUAGAGAUGUGGAGGAACACCAGUGGCGAAGGCGGCUCUCUGGUCUGUAACUGACGCUGAGGCGCGAAAGCGUGGGGAGCAAACAGG
rnacentral:rRNA from 1 species